ACGGGGUGCAGCAGGCGCGAAAACUUUACAAUGCGGGAAACCGUGAUAAGGGAACACCGAGUGCCAGCAUCAUAUGCUGGCUGUCCAGAUGUGUAAACUACAUCUGUUAGCAAGGGCCGGGCAAGACCGGUGCCAGCCGCCGCGGUAACACCGGCGGCCCGAGUGGUGACCGUUAUUAUUGGGUCUAAAGGGUCCGUAGCCGGUUUGGUCAGUCCUCCGGGAAAUCUGAUAGCUCAACUAUUAGACUUUCGGGGGAUACUACCAGGCUUGGAACCGGGAGAGGUAAGAGGUACUACAGGGGUAGGAGUGAAAUCUUGUAAUCCCUGUGAGACCACCUGUGGCGAAGGCGUCUUACCAGAACGGGUUCGACGGUGAGGGACGAAAGCUGGGGGCACGAACCGGAUUAGAUACCCGGGUAGUCCCAGCCGUAAACUAUGCUCGCUAGGUGUCAGGCAUGGCGCGACCGUGUCUGGUGCCGCAGGGAAGCCGUGAAGCGAGCCACCUGGGAAGUACGGCCGCAAGGCUGAAACUUAAAGGAAUUGGCGGGGGAGCAC
rnacentral:rRNA from 1 species